AAAUUUCUGUACGCAAAAGCUUUACGGAGAAGAACUUGUGAUCAUGAAACAAGAGAACCACCAACAUUUCUAUUAUAUAGAAAAGCCAUGAUUGGUCGACCAAGGAUAGAAUUGUCAUUUUAUUUUUCACACACUACCACAUAAUUCUAGAACCGUCCACACUUUCAUCUCCUUUCCUAACUCUCUCACUUUCCCUUCAUCUUCUCGGCUUGGGGUUUUACCACAAUUUUUUCUUAAAUCUUCUUCCACUUUUUUCAGUUCAUCCUCCUCUCUUUCAAUCUUCUGUUCAUUACUUUUUUUUAAGGGAUUUCUUCCUAUUUUAUCAGUUUCUUGCUUGAAGUAUCUACAUUUAUGGGUCUUCUACUUUGGGUGUUACAAGGUUCAGGUUAGUGUGUCAGCUAUUCUUUUUUUCAAUUUUUCUUCUAUUUUAUUUCAUUUUUUUGUCUGCUAUUAUCCGUUGUUAUUGUUGUUAUUUAUUUUGGAUUUUCUCUUCUGUUGUUCUGCAUUUUUGUCUUCAUAUGCAACCUGUAUCAAUAUAAUACUUCUGCUUUAAUUUGUGGUCUAAACGAUUGGUUAAAUCUUCAGUUAAAUUUGAUUUAAGUUUUUUUUUUCAUUUGGUUUUCUUGCUUUUUCUUUUUGCCUCUUCUUGGUAGAAGAACACUUCUAAUAGAACUGGGUUUAAUAUGGGGCAUGCGGGUGCUGCUACCUGAAACCUAAGUUAGUUUUAAUUGGGUUUUGUUACAUUUUUAGGUAACACUUUUUGUGCCACAAGUGUUUGAUGAAUUUAUUGAAAGAAAUUACUUCUACAUUGAACUUCUAGAUUCUCCCUUUUUGAAGCUUGAGUUUUGAUAGAUCAUGGCUAUACAGUUUGUGCGUUCAAAAGCAAUGUAAUCUGUUUGGCAGACAACUUUCUAUCCUUAUGGUCUCUCCAUCUCGAGGAGUUAAUCACUUGCAAUAUACAUCGCGUCUUCUUUCACCGGAAAAGGACAAUCCAG
rnacentral:lncRNA from 1 species